CCUACGGGGUGCAGCAGUGAGGAAUAUUGGUCAAUGGGCGGAAGCCUGAACCAGCCAAGUAGCGUGCAGGAUGACGGCCCUACGGUUUGUAAACUGCUUUUAUACGGGAAUAACGCCCCUUACGUGUAGGGCUUUGCAUGUACCGUUUGAAUAAGGACCGGCUAAUUCCGUGCCAGCAGCCGCGGUAAUACGGAAGGUCCGGGCGUUAUCCGGAUUUAUUGGGUUUAAAGGGAGCGUAGGCCGCAUGUCAAGCGUGCUGUGAAAUGUCCGGGCUCAACCCGGGCCUUGCAGCGCGAACUGGCGUGCUCGAGUCCGCGGAAAGCAGGCGGAAUUCGUCGUGUAGCGGUGAAAUGCUUAGAUAUGACGAAGAACCCCGAUUGCGAAGGCAGCUUGCUGCAGCGGAACUGACGCUGAUGCUCGAAAGCGCGGGUAUCGAACAGGAUUAGAUACCCCUGUAGUC
rnacentral:rRNA from 1 species